UACGGGGGGAGCAAGCGUUGUUCGGAUUUACUGGGCGUAAAGGGCGCGUAGGCGGCCAGCACAAGUCAGUUGUGAAAUCUCCGAGCUUAACUCGGAAAGGUCAACUGAUACUGUGCGGCUAGAGUGCAGAAGGGGCAACUGGAAUUCUUGGUGUAGCGGUGAAAUGCGUAGAUAUCAAGAGGAACACCUGCGGCGAAGGCGGGUUGCUGGGCUGACACUGACGCUGAAGCGCGAAAGCUAGGGUAGCAAACGGG
rnacentral:rRNA from 1 species